rnacentral:rRNA from 1 species
UACGUAGGUGGCAAGCGUUGUCCGGAUUUACUGGGCGUAAAGAGCGCGCAGGCGGUUGAUUAAGUCGAAUGUGAAAGCCCCCGGCUCAACUGGGGAGGGUCAUUCGAUACUGAUCGACUUGAAGGCAGGAGAGGGAAGUGGAAUUCCGGGUGUAGUGGUGAAAUGCGUAGAUAUCAAGAGGAACACCUGCGGCGAAGGCGGGUUGCUGGGCUGACACUGACGCUGAAGCGCGAAAGCCAGGGGAGCGAACGGG